rnacentral:rRNA from 1 species
UGACCUCGGAUCAGGUAGGGAUACCCGCUGAACUUAAGCAUAUCAAUAAGCGGAGGAAAAGAAACCAACCGGGAUUGCCUCAGUAACGGCGAGUGAAGCGGCAAGAGCUCAAAUUUGAAAGCUGGCUCCUUCGGAGUCCGCAUUGUAAUUUGCAGAGGAUGCUUUGGGUGCGGCCCCCGUCUAAGUGCCCUGGAACGGGCCGUCAGAGAGGGUGAGAAUCCCGUCUUGGGCGGGGUGUCCGUGCCCGUGUAAAGCUCCUUCGACGAGUCGAGUUGUUUGGGAAUGCAGCUCUAAAUGGGUGGUAAAUUUCAUCUAAAGCUAAAUACUGGCCGGAGACCGAUAGCGCACAAGUAGAGUGAUCGAAAGAUGAAAAGCACUUUGAAAAGAGAGUUAAACAGCACGUGAAAUUGUUGAAAGGGAAGCGCUUGCGACCAGACUCGCCCGCGGGGUUCAGCCGGCAUUCGUGCCGGUGUACUUCCCCGUGGGCGGGCCAGCGUCGGUUUGGGCGGCCGGUCAAAGGCCCCUGGAAUGUAGUACCCUCCGGGGUACCUUAUAGCCAGGGGUGCAAUGCGGCCAGCCUGGACCGAGGAACGCGCUUCGGCACGGACGCUGGCAUAAUGGUCGUAAACGACCCGUCUUGAAACACGGACCAAGGAGUCUAACAUCUACGCGAGUGUUCGGGUGUCAAACCCGUGCGCGCAGUGAAAGCGAACGGAGGUGGGAGCCCCCUCG